GAAAGGCAAAGAAAUUGAUCCAAUAUCACAAGAAGCCAUUGAAAAGUUUCAGCAACUAAAGAAACAACGAGAAGAAGGACAAAUUUCACUGGAUGAUGAUGCUAUGUUUGCUGAUGUACUUGGGCCAGAAAAAAAUGGUUAUGUACGUGCUUAUGGUCUUAGAAAAAAUGUCACGGAAUAUUUUGGUGCUAGACCUACAAAGAUAGAACUACUUAGACAACUUGAUACUUCAAGAAGAGAAGCAAACGAGCGUGUCCAACAAAUUCAAAAAGAAGCAAGUGAACAAGUAAAUGAUGUUAAGAAGCAAAUGGAUGAGAAACUUGUAGAGAAAUAGAAUAUGGGAGCAGAAAUUCAAGAUGCUUUUGGAGAAAAACAAUAAUAUUGCAUCAGUAAGUGAUUAAAAACUAAGUCUCAUUUUUUUUCUAAUAUAAGAAUUUUUGUAAGCUAUAUAACUAGUAUGAACCUUAUCUAUUUUAUAUAAUUUUGUUAUUAAUAUUUUCAAAUAAAAUUUUAUACAGCCUAUGGAGGAUUCCCA